CAGCAGCCGCGGGAACACGAAGGGGGCUAGCGUUGUUCGGAAUCACUGGGCGUAAAGCGCACGUAGGCGGAUUUUUAAGUCAGGGGUGAAAUCCCGAGGCUCAACCUCGGAACUGCCUUUGAUACUGGAGAUCUUGAGUUCGGAAGAGGUUGGUGGAACAGCUAGUGUAGAGGUGAAAUUCGUAGAUAUUAGCUAGAACACCAGUGGCGAAGGCCGCCAACUGAUUCGACACUGACGCUGAGGUGCGAAAGCGUGGGGAGCAAACAGGAUUAGAUACCCCCGUAGUCCCUGUCUCUUAUAC
rnacentral:rRNA from 1 species